GGUGGUUCUCGGGUGACUCACCCAGGAAACGGGCUCCCUCCUCUCUGGUUCUGGGUGCAUCACCUGAGAACCACA
rfam:Myotis davidii contig131167, whole genome shotgun sequence.